rnacentral:misc_RNA from 1 species
AUUCUUCACAGGCAUGGCAUAUGCAAUCCCCUCAUAUACCUGUGAAAUUAGCAAAUUUCAAAAUUCUUCAGAAUCAAAUUGUUAAAAGUAUCAAUCAAUUCCGUGGAAGUGGCUAUAGCAUCACAUAUCUUUUUCAAAUUCAUACAAAAUUCGAGGAAAACAGUACAAUAUUCAUCAAGGAAACACUGAUGGCGAUUUACAUUUGUGUCAUAAAUUAUUUGGUCAUGGAAAUGCUGUUGGAUGAAGAUGUAAAUUGUCAACAGUCACAGAAGGCAUAAAAAGCCAAAACACUUACAGAAAUCUUGAAGCAACCUCAUGCA